rnacentral:rRNA from 1 species
GGGGAAUAUUGCACAAUGGGCGCAAGCCUGAUGCAGCCAAGCCGCGCGUAUGAAGAAGGCCUUCGGGUUGUAAAGUACUAUCAGCGGGGAGGAAGGUGUUGUGGUUAAUAACCGCAGCAAUUGACGUUACCCGCAGAAGAAGCCCCGGCUAACUCCGUGCCAGCAGCCGCGGUAAUACGGAGGGUGCAAGCGUUAAUCGGAAUUACUGGGCGUAAAGCGCACGUAGGCUGCUUUGUAAGUCAGGGGUGAAAUCCCACGGCUCAACCGUGGAACUGCCUUUGAGACUGCUUAGCUUGAAUCCGGGAGACGGUGGCGGAAUUCCAGGUGUAGGAGUGAAAUCCGUAGAUAUCUGGAGGAACAUCAGUGGCGAAGGCGGCCACCUGGACCGGUAUUGACGCUGAGGUGCGAAAGCGUGGGGAGCAAACA